AAAAAACUUAUUGUAAAAGUUUGUGGUGCAGUUUUUUCGAGUGACUGAUUGUCGAUUAAAAUAACUUUUUGUAAAAGUGGUGUUCUAAAUAUAAUUCUGUUUCAAAAUGACUGAAAGUGACUUAAAUGUGAAAAGACUUCAACUGCAGUGACAAUAUAUGCUUCAGCACUGACAGGGUUGUUACGGUUGCACGGAUUACGCGAUUUUCGCGGAUUUGGCGCGGUUUCUACUUAGAUUUUGUUCCGAUGGCGCGGAUUUUGCGCGAAUUUGAAGAAACGUCAUUUCGGAAAGACACGCCUCUAAGUCAUUUUCUACGAAGACCAUACUAGUCAGAAUUCAUUAUCGGAUUUCUGUAUUAUCCGAAUUCUACAAGCGAACAUAUCCAAAUAUUAUGCUUGAUGGUAUGCUAAUGCAUAGUUACAAUCGUCGUGAUCGCUGAACACUUUCGCUGGAAACAGUAGAUGUUUCUCUGCUCAGUGAUCGUUGU